rnacentral:rRNA from 1 species
AACGAACGUUGGCGGCGUGGAUUAGGCAUGCAAGUCGAACGAAUGCCGGGGGGCAACUCCCGGCGGAAGUGGCGAAAGGGGCAGUAAGGCGUGGGUAACCUACCCCGGGGACGGGCAUAGCCACUCUAACGAGUGGGUAAUUCCCGGCGAUGUGACGAGAGAGCAUUCUCUUGUCAUGAAAUGAGUUUCGCCUCGGGAGGGGCUCACGUGAUAUCAGCUUGUUGGUGAGGUAACGGCUCACCAAGGCAGCGACGUCUAGCAGGUGUGAGAGCACGACCUGCGCCACUGGCACUGAGACACUGGCCAGACUCCUACGGGAGGCUGCAGUCGGGGAUCUUCGGCAAUGGGCGCAAGCCUGACCGAGCGACGCCGCGUGUGCGAUGAAGGCCUUCGGGUUGUAAAGCACUGUCGAGGGGGAGGAAAGCCCGCAAGGGCCUGACCUAUCCCUGGAGGAAGUACGGGCUAAGUUCGUGCCAGCAGCCGCGGUAAGACGAACCGUGCGAACGUUGUUCGGAUUCACUGGGCUUAAAGGGCGCGUAGGCGGCUUCUCAAGUCGGGGGUGAAAUCGUUCCGCUUAACGGGACAACAGCCCCCGAUACUGGGAAGCUGGAGGGAGAUAGGGGUGCGCGGAACUUCCGGUGG